rnacentral:lncRNA from 1 species
GCUUUGGGGAAGAAUCUCUGUCCACAAAGAGGCUUCCUCCCAGACCCAGUCCUGAGGCUCAAGGGCGUCAUCGGCUUUGGGGGCCACGGCACCAGACAGGCCCUGUGGACCCCAGACGGGGCGGCUGUCGUGUACCCCUGCCAUGCGGUCAUCGUCGUCCUGCUCGUGGACACGGGGGAGCAGCGCUUCUUCCUUGGCCACACAGACAAGGUCUCCGCCCUGGCGCUGGAUGGCAGCAGCUCACUAUUGGCCUCGGCCCAGGCAAGGGCCCCUAGUGUGAUGCGGCUCUGGGACUUCCAGACCGGGCGGUGCUUGUGCCUGUUCCGGAGCCCAAUGCACGUUGUCUGCUCUCUCA